AUAAAAUGACUACAGACUGAAUCUUAUUUCUGCUCAACUGACUGUGCAGCUCAAAUGAGCUAAAAGGCAGUAUAAAUCUUCACUGUGAUUAUAUUUUACAAUAUUUUGAAAUGAGGAAACACUUACAAUCAGAGAAUCUUGGCAACAGUUUGGAGAGGGCUCAAUGUCCAGGUGAUUGAACGUCAGCUGGAUCUGAUACCCCUGUGGCACCUCCAGGUCCCAUUGCUCCAGGAUAUCUGCUGGAUAUGGUUGAGGGUACUGUGGAGAAGACACCUCCCCAAACAUGGCCGGCUCACACUCACACACAUUCACACAUGCCCAGAG